UACUUAAAAUUAAGGAAAAACAAUAAAUUAAAAAUAGCUUGAAUAUUAAAUUUAAUACAAAAUUUGAGAUUGUUAUAAUUAAGUGUUGAUGGUGGUUGCGACUGGACUCGAACCAGCGACCCCUACCA
rnacentral:antisense_RNA from 1 species